GAUGAACGCUAGCGGCAGGCUUAACACAUGCAAGUCGAGGGGCAGCGUGGAGCAGCAAUGCUCUGACGGCGACCGGCGGAAGGGUGCGUAACACGUGAGCGACUUGCCCGUCACAGGGGGAUAACCGGCGGAAACGGCGACUAAUACCCCAUACGAUGCGAUGCUGCAUGGCAUUGCAUUGAAAGAUUCAUCGGUGGCGGAUAGGCUCGCGGGACAUUAGCUAGACGGCGGGGCAACGGCCCACCGUGGCGACGAUGUCUAGGGGUUCUGAGAGGAAGGCCCCCCCACACUGGGACUGAGACACGGCCCAGACUCCUACGGGAGGCAGCAGUGAGGAAUAUUGGGUCAAUGGGCGGAAGCCUGAACCAGCCAUGCCGCGUGAAGGACUAAGGCCCUACGGGUCGUAAACUUCUUUAGACGCAGAGCAAUAAGGUCCACGCGUGGACCGAUGAGAGUAUGCGUAGAAUAAGCAUCGGCU
rnacentral:rRNA from 1 species